GUAUUUGCUGAAAAUAAAGCUCAACAAAAGAGGAAAAGUGAAAGGUAAAGUGGACUCAUUGAAAGAUGAAGCCAUAACUGCAGUGUAAAGAAAGAAAUUACCCACCUUCUGACAGGCCUUUUCUCAAGUUCACUCUUAGUGUAAGAAGUUAGAUCCGCUAUCAACCAUCACAUUAGCAACCACCACGUAACAGGACUGGGCUAGACACCUAACCACAAGAGUAUCCGUAGCUCGAGGAUAUUCACAUCAAGCAUUGUUUGGAAUAAGGGAAGGUUGAGAAGGAUGGGAGUAAGCAGAGACAAAUGAAUGUAUUUGCUGAAAAUCUCUCAACAAAGAGGAGAAGUGAAAGGUAAAGUGGACUCAUUGAAAGAUGAAGCCAUAACUGCAGUGUAACGAAAGAAAUUAUACCCACCUUCUGACAGGUCUUUUCUCAGGUUGAACACUGUUAGUGUAAGAAGUUAGAUCCGCUAUUAACAAACCACCACGUAAGAGGACUGGGCUGAACACCUAACCACAAGGUCUUUUCUCAGGUUGAACACUGUUAGUGUAAGAAGUUAGAUCCGCUAUCAACCAUCACAUUAGCAAACCACCACGUAAAAGGACUGGCUGAACACCUAACCACAAGAGUAUCCGUAGCUCGAGGAUAUUCACAUCAAGCAUUGUUUGGAAUAAGGGAAGGUUGAGAAGG